rnacentral:rRNA from 1 species
AGUGAACGCUGGCGGUAGGCCUAACACAUGCAAGUCGAACGGCAGCACAGGAGAGCUUGCUCUCUGGGUGGCGAGUGGCGGACGGGUGAGGAAUACAUCGGAAUCUACUCUGUCGUGGGGGAUAUCGUAGGGAAACUUACGCUAAUACCGCAUACGACCUACGGGUGAAAGCAGGGGAUCGUCGGACCUCGCGGGAUUGAAUGAGCCGAUGUAGGAUUAGCUAGGUGGCGGGGUAAAGGACCACCAAGGCGACGAUCCGUAGCGGGUCUGAGAGGAUGAUCAGCCACACUGGAACUGAGACACGGUCCAGACUCCUACGGGAGGCAGCAGUGGGGAAUAUUGGACAAUGGGCGCAAGCCUGAUCCAGCCAUACCGCGUGGGUGAAGAAGGCCUUCGGGUUGUAAAGCCCUUUUGUUGGGAAAGAAAUCCAGCUGGCUAAUACCCGGUUGGGAUGACGGUACCCAAAGAAUAAGCACCGGCUAACUUCGUGCCAGCCGCCGCAGUAA